GACGAACGCUGGCGGCGUGCUUAACACAUGCAAGUCGAACGGAAAGGCCUCUUUCGGGGGGUACUCGAGUGGCGAACGGGUGAGUAACACGUGAGUAACCUGCCCUUGACUUUGGGAUAACUUCAGGAAACUGGGGCUAAUACCGGAUAGGAGCUCCUGCUGCAUGGUGGGGGUUGGAAAGUUUCGGCGGUUGGGGGUGGACUCGCGGCUUAUCAGCUUGUUGGUGGGGUAGUGGCUUACCAAGGCUUUGACGGGUAGCCGGCCUGAGAGGGUGACCGGCCAAAUUGGGACUGAGAUACGGCCCAGACUCCUACGGGAGGCAGCAGGGGGGAAGAUUGCACAAGGGGUGGAAGCCUGAUGCAGCAACGCCGUGUGCGGGAUGACGGCCUUCGGGUUGUAAACCGCUUUCGCUCAUGACGAAGCUUUGUGUGACGGUAGUGGGUAAAGAAGCACCGGCUAACUACGUG
rnacentral:rRNA from 1 species